rnacentral:rRNA from 2 species
UGCAUGUCUCAGUGCAAGCCAAAUUAAGGUGAAACCGCGAAUGGCUCAUUAAAUCAGUUAUGGUUCCUUAGAUCGUACCCACGUUACUUGGAUAACUGUGGUAAUUCUAGAGCUAAUACAUGCAAACAGAGCUCUGACCAGAAAUGGAAAGAGCGCUUUUAUUAGAUCAAAACCAAUCGGUCGGCUCGUCCGGUCCGUUUGCCUUGGUGACUCUGAAUAACUUUGGGCUGAUCGCACGGUCUUAGUACCGGCGACGCAUCUUUCAAAUGUCUGCCUUAUCAACUUACGAUGGUAGGUUCUGCGCCUACCAUGGUUGUAACGGGUAACGGGGAAUCAGGGUUCGAUUCCGGAGAGGGAGCCUGAGAAACGGCUACCACAUCCAAGGAAGGCAGCAGGCGCGCAAAUUACCCACUCCCGGCACGGGGAGGUAGUGACGAAAAAUAACGAUACGGGACUCAUCCGAGGCCCCGUAAUCGGAAUGAGUACACUUUAAAUCCUUUAACGAGUAUCC